AUUGAACGCUGGCGGCAGGCCUAACACAUGCAAGUCGAAAGAGUGGCGGACGGGUGAGUAAAGUCUGGGAAACUGCCCGAUGGAGGGGGAUAACUACUGGAAACGGUAGCUAAUACCGCAUACCAUCGGAUGUGCCCAGAUGGGGUUGGCUAGUAGGUGGGGUAACGGCUAACCUAGGCGACGAUCCCUAGCUGGUCUGAGAGGAGGACCAGCCACAUUGGAACUGAGACACGGUCCAGAUGCCUACGUGAGGCAGUAGUGGGGAAUAUUGCACAAUGGGCGCAAGCCUGAGGCAGCCAUGCCGCGUGUGUGAAGAAGGCCUUCGGGUUGUAAAGUACUUUCAGCGAGGAGGCGUUACUCGCAGAAGAAGCACCGGCUAACUCCGUGCCAGCAGCCGCGGUAAUAC
rnacentral:rRNA from 1 species